rnacentral:misc_RNA from 1 species
CCGAGUUAGGGUCCCCCUCGCGGGGCCCGACCUCCCAACCCCGUGUCUACUAAACCUGUACGUGUUGCUUCGGCGGACCGGCGUCCUGCGCCGCCGGGGGAGUCCACGGCCCUUCCCGGCCGUCCCCUGGAGAGCGUCCGUCGAUGGCCCAACCAAAACAAACUCCCAAAACCAAAUUAUUGUACCGAUAUCUUCUGAAUCAGACCUUUUGAUGUACCAAUCAAAAACA